rnacentral:lncRNA from 1 species
GGGGGGGUGGUGGCGAAGGACUUCAAUCUCACGAGCAUUUCACCGAAAAAGACUAUUACGACCGACUGCAAGGGGUUAAAAACGAGUCCCCUCCCAAACCUAUCGCUUUCCUUUCUUUAGAAACGCCGGCACUGAACGACCGUCCUGUGGAAUAGAGCUGUUCAACAACUCGAUGUCUAGUUUUAAAACAUACAAAGUGGCGGGGCGCGCCUGGACCCAGCGGAGCCGAGCAGGCAGACCCUGAGCGUCUCCAGGCCGGACUUUUUUUGUUGUCGUCGCUUAACGGAAGGCGCCGAUCGCCCGUCACCGGACAGCAAGCGCUCGGAGAGACCCGCCCCGGCCCGCCGGCUGUGCCCUCGGCGUCUCCCAGCGCAGGAGAGGAAGCCGGUGGCCCCAGCUCUCCGCCGGGGGCCGCUGGGAUCCGCGCAUUCCCGAAGCAAGCAGGCGCCGGAGUUGGCCCUUUUCCGCCCCCCGGGUGGAGGGGGGGUGGAAGACUUCCGCCUCGUUCGGCACCGCCGGGGGGGGUCGUGAAGCGUCCCCAGGACGAGUCCUCCCGGGCCGAGGGCAGAUCCGGGUUGGAGGACAUCCUGCUCUUGUCCCAGUAAGGACCUGCAGAGAGGGGCAGCGCGCCGGAGUUGGCCCUCCUCUUAUCUGAGCUGCGGAGCUCCAGGAGAGCUCUGUGAAGAACUGCCCACAGAGAGAGAGAGAGAGGGAGGGAGAAGGAGAAGGAGGGAGGGCGGGUAGUGCGAGAGAGCGAGUGCCGCCAGUCAGAGAGAGAGAGAGAGGGAGUCUGGUAACCAAGGACAACUGCAGAAACACUGCACACAGUCAGUCCCACACAGUGACUGGAGGGAAGGCUACAUGGGCGCUGAGAUUGCAGCAGGAGAGACUCCGGAGAUCUGAA